CCAGACGGCCGGAUGGCCGCCUUCGUUUGGCCUUGCGCCAGCGGGGAGGAAAGUCCGGGCUCCACGGAAACACGGUGCCGGGUAACGCCCGGCGGGGGCGACCCCAGGGAAAGUGCCACAGAAAGCAAACCGCCGGCCAGGGCGCGUCAAUGCGGGCGAUCGACCGUAGCGCGACGGCCUGUCGGCAAGGGUGAAAGGGUGCGGUAAGAGCGCACCGCGCCUCCGGCAACAGAGGCGGCAUGGUAAACCCCACCGGGAGCAAGACCAAGUAGGGACGGUACGCCGGCUUCGCGCCGGCAAGCGCGUUUCCGCGCCGCCGUCCGGGUCGGUCGCGCGAGGCGCCCGGUAACGGGCGCCCCAGAUGAAUGGCCAUCACCCACCCUGAAGGGUGGGUACAGAACCCGGCUUACAGGCCGUCUGGCAUU
rnacentral:RNase_P_RNA from 1 species